AAGUACGCAUGUAAAUCCAGCCAACACAGUGUUCCUGACUAACUUCAACACAAAAAACAUGAACGUCAUGAAGGGUGCAGCUGAUGGUGGCCAGAUCGACAAGGUAAUCGAUCACGCUGCUGGGGUGGCCAAGGAGAAAAUUGGCUCUGCACUUGGAGGAAACAAGAAAGCUCCAACUGGCAAGAAUCAGGAUGCAGGUGUUGGCGAUAUGAUCAGUGGUGCGAUUGGCAAAGUUGCUUCAGACACUUCAGACGCAGGCAAAAAAACUGCAGAUCAGGCAACGUCUUUUGCAAAGGGCCUGAUAAAAUAACCUGGCAAACUUUAAAUGGGAACUCUUUCCCUCUUCAUGAUGUUACCUGAAGCCUAUCAUUCUGUAAAUCUCUUUUAAUUUUCACAACUGAUUAAGAAGUACCUCCACAAAAGCAGUCAUCUUGAAACAGGUGAUAUAUGAAGCUGUAUUAGUAUCAGGGCUGUUUGCAUUACAUGUUAGAGCUUUUCCUUUUAAUAAAAUGGAUUUAGUAUAACACUAUUUUUAAAUAACUUCUAAAGUUAAAAUAAAUUAAAUUACAAUUAAAGAGCAGGCAGAAAUUGAAUCAAGUUUACAGGUUUAAAUUCAUUCUUGAUUUGUGUCCUGUACAUUUUUAAUGAUCUCUGUAAUUUUGUUAAACAUGUCAUGUCUUAAAAUAAGUGGAACCACAAACCAAAACAGAAUCAAUAAAAUCUAUCCAAAAUGAUUAGACUUCUUGUCCAGCAAGUGUUAUUGGGUUUUUGCCAUAAUAGUAUUGUACUAUUAUAAAUAUUUGACUUAGUUUAAAGCCCCUUCAUCAUGUGAAUAGAAACAUCAAAAUACAAAUCUCAACAGAUGCAAAUUGGAGAAGAGCCAAAAUUUUACAUAUCUGUGAUUUUUAAGCAUUUUUUUGGGUGGGGAAGCUUAAUAGUUUCAUGUUCAAUCAAUCACUGAAGUUUGUAAAAAACAAUUAAGUUAACUUG